rnacentral:lncRNA from 1 species
GUUUUGAUUAGACAGUGGCUUUCCUGAAUCUACUUUUCCCUUUUCUCAUGGAUGUCUCACAUGUAUGUGAUUCUGGCUGUUCUUUUAAUCCCACAGGGCUCUGCAGAAUGAAACUCACUCAAAAAUGUAGAACUGUAUGAAGUAAAGAAGGAGAUGCUGCAGGGAGUCCUGGCUGGAAAAGUAAACUUCAACCACUUUGGAAGGAAGCAUCGAUCCAGUUCUAACAUCGAUACAACUACAGACAAGUGAACUACAAGUCAAGAUUUAAUGCAGCGUGAAAAUGUUCUGAGCAGUAUUUAUGAUCACAUUCAGUACUUAACUGGCUAUUGUGUUGAUGCACCAUUAGGUAGUGGAUAAUGUAACUGUUCCUU